GGUCGAAACUGGAGCUAAAGAAGCUGUACUAAAUAUUUCACAUACAUAAUUGACAAUUAGAGGAAGUUUGGAUGGGAAGUCAUCUCGAGUCAAGUUGUGACAACGACAUGUGACAUCUUUGUGAAAGGACACUAGAACUUCUGUCACUACAUAAACUGAAAGAGUUAUUAGCAGAGUACUGAUCACUAGCCAAUUUUUUUUUUCCAAGCAAAAACAUCAAAUGUAUUUGGUUAUGAAUUGGUAAUUUCUGGUUGACCUAAGGAAUUUUGGACCCUUCUUCCCUCAAGAUCAAAUCUGGGCAAGUCUAGAUGUGUGCGAACGAUCUACAAGAAGUGAAAGUUGAUAAUGCUUUACUUGAACAGCCUGAGCCGAGGGCUGACUCGCGCAGUGUCGCCUGUCAGGACAUCUGUAAGGACAAAGACCAUCGCAAAUUAGCCAUUUGCAGCAUCAUAUGUGGCCUCUCCUGUCUUGGAAUUAUGUCCCUUAUGUACUCCGUCAAGGCCCGAGAGACAAGAAAAAGACUUCAAAACGAAGAUUGUCCAGAAACACGAGAGAUGAUUAAGAAAUACUCAGAAAAGGCGUGUAAAUGGGGUAUUGGGUCCAUUGUAGCCUGGGUGGUUUUAAUUCUCAUCUUUCCAUUGCUGAUGGGAUUUCUGUCCUAUGUUGUAACCCUCAUAGACUGACACUGAAGAAGCAUUUCUACAGUUAAAUGAGCAACCAAAGCAAAUGAACUGUAAGAGUGCAGAAACAAACUCUUUCAUUGCUCACACUGGACACUGCAUCUAGACCAGUGGUUCCCAAACCUGUCCUGGAGGCCCCCCUGCC